UUAACGACUCUCGGCAACGGAUAUCUCGGCUCUCGCAUCGAUGAAGAACGUAGCGAAAUGCGAUACCUGGUGUGAAUUGCAGAAUCCCGCGAACCAUCGAGUCUUUGAACGCAAGUUGCGCCCGAGGCCACCCGGCCGAGGGCACGCCUGCCUGGGCGUCACGC
rnacentral:rRNA from 1 species